GAUGCCUUCACCUUUAACCAUAGAUAUAAGGUUUUAGUCUUGAAAAUGGAAAAUAAGAUGCUUCCGGUUUAUUGUGCAUGAACAAGUCUGAAUUAGUCGAGCCUGAAACCCAGCGGAAAAAAAAGGAAACAAAACAGGUCGGUACGCUUGAGUUAGUUUAAUAAUCAAAAAGAAACCUAAAGUAAUAAAUCCCUUAGUGGAAUAAUCUCAACAACUUUAUUAUGAUGGAGUGUUUGAUUUUUUUUUUACUGUUGAAAUUCCUGUUUAGCCAUUUACUUUAGCUUCUCUCUGAAUCACCUCGUGUACUAUUUCACACAGCUUCGUCUUGGCAGGUUUGUUGAAAUUUAAAGAUCUUAAGAACUAGUCCGGCUUGACUAGUAAAAGCUACAGACAUGGAAAGAGGAAAUGGAGGAGAAAAAGGGGAAGUGGAAGCAAACAUAUCAUCGAGCUCCCAGGUUAAAAAGUCAGCCCUCAACAUUAAGGAAUAUGUUACAUAAUUGAUGGGAGAAGACAAGUAUGAGGUAGACUACACAGUGGGCGAGAGCAUAAUAAGUUCUGGUCGCGGUUUCAAUCGCUAGAGACUUUAUGUUAGUGGGAACUCAUCAUGAUCAUCUUAAUUAACUGCCUGUUAAUUUAGAGCAUACUUAGGUCUUAGAUCUAUAUCUCCAAACAAGUUUGAGGUACACUGCGGAGAAAUGGAUUCAUCUUAGGUCCAUACCUCCAGGCAAAUCUCUAUUAGUAUAUUACAUUAACUUCUUUCCUACCCGUUGGGGCUUCAAGUGUUGGAUCUAUCAUCACACACUUAUGCCUUCUUCAAGAUAUUUCAGUUCAUUUCCCAUUAAGCACUGUUUUUCCCAUCUGAUUCUUCUUUUAGCAGAUGCUUAUUUUUACAUAGAAAUUGAUGAAUGAUCAAAAUGGAAUUUUGACUGACAAAUUGUUUCUUAUCCUUUGGUUGACAUAUUAUUUUGUUGUUGUUACAGAUCCUUUUUCUUGAAUGCGUUAUAAUUCUUCCUCUAGUUUUGUUUUCUCUUCCUAUCUUAUAUAUGUGUUACAUGAGUUGGGAGUCUUUUGCAAACAAGCUUUCUACCUCCAUGAAAUAGAGUUGAGGUCUGUGUACACUCUAUCCUUCCUAUACCCCACUUGUGUGAUUAUAGAGUAUCUUGUUGUUGUUGCACUAUCCUUUCAGGAUGAAUCUUCUCUUCCUUUUGCCUCACAAAAGUGUCAACAAGAGUGGACUAUUUGUAAUUCUUUACAUUGCCAGUGCCCAAAACAUUAACUCUUUAUAUAUGGUCGUUGAACGUUACUUAUGAUAGUAGUAAAGUCACAACUAUUGUUUGCCACAUUAAAGUAACUAAACUUGUUAAAAUAUCUCUCAAGCACUCUCACACACACAUAUAACUGCCAUUCCAGCAGUUACUGAGCUCGAUAAGAAGAAGGAAAAGAAGAGAGAGGAUGAUCUAAGAUUGAAACUUGUAUGUUAGUUAUGUACAAUGUGAGUUCAUGCCACCUAUUUAUAGACUCACAUGACUAAAAUGUGAUUAUCUAGAAGAUUCGUAACAAAUUCCUAACAACUUAAUCAAGUGGCCAGCUCACUAACCAACUUGACACACCUAACAGACUCGACUAACAAGCAAUGCAAUAGAGUUAACUAACAGUGUUAAUCAACUGUUAACUAAUUAAUAUAACAGAAAGUAUGAAUACUGAAUAUUGAUACUAUAAGUUUUGACACUCCUCCUCAAGCUACAGGGUGCAAAAUGUUGAGCACACCAAGCUUUCUUAGGAGAUGUAAGUGUUGAUCAUGACUCAAGCCCUUUGUGAGGAUAUCUGCAACCUGUUGAUUUAUCUGCACAUACAUGGGUUGAACCAACCCUUCCUUGAUCUUAUCUCUAAUAAAGUGGCAGUCCACCUAAAUAUGUUUGGUCCUCUCAUGGAAUAUGGGGCUAGCAGCUAGCUGAAUAGCUGAAUUGCUAUCAGUAAAGAUGAUAAUAAUUUUAGUUAUAGGGAUCCCUAAUUCUACAAACAGUCCAUCCAACCAUGUUACUUCUACCAAAGCUUAGGCCAUGCUCCUAUAUUCUACCUAAACUGAGCUUCUGGAGAUAGUGUUCUAUUUUUUGGACUUCUAGGAUAUCAAUAAACCACCAAACUGCACCAUAUAGCCUAUAACAGACCUCUUAGUAUUUGGACAUGCAGCGCAAUUUGAGUCACACCAACAAACAAACUCUGUAGUAGGUUGUUCCUGGAGCCAUAUACCUUGUCCUACAAUUUCGUUUAGAUAUCUUAUCACCCUGUUUGCUGCCUCCAAAUUUUAUUUUUUAGGUUGUUACAUGAACUGACUUACUAUUUGUACUUCAUAACUGAUAUCAAGUUUUGUUAUUCUUGCAUACAACAAUUUUCCAACAAGUCUUUGAUACGAUGUUAUAUCCCUUAGAAUAAUAUCUCCUUUAACACCUGCUGCUUCAUUCACUUUAACAAAGGUUAGCUUGAUAUUAAUAUCUAAUGGAGUAAGAUAUGGCUUAGCACCAACAAGCCCUAUGUCAGAUGUAAGCUCCAAUAUAUAUUUUCUUUGGUUCAAUAUUACUCUACUUGCAGACCUCAACACUUUAAUGCCUAAGAAGUCCUUAAGCUCACCUAGAUCCUUAAGUAUAAAUUGCUGAUGGAGAGUAACUUUUGUUGCAUUAAUCAUGUUUGUAUUAUCCCCUAUUAUUAGAAGAUCAUCUACAUAAACUAAAACCACCACCAUACCUUUUGACUUCUUUAAGGUAAAGCGUGAAUAAUCAUAUCUGCUCAGAGAGAAUGCUGUAUUGAGCAAUGCUGCAGUAGGCUUUAUAUUCCACUGCCUUGAUACUUGGUUAAGUCCAUACAAUGACUUGAUUAAUCUUCAAACUUUGAGUUACUUCCCUCCAAGAAACCAUCUGGCAUUUCCAUAUACACUUUCUCAUCUAAAUCACCUUGUAGAAAAGCAUUAUAGACAUCCAUUUGGUACAUACACCACCCUUUUGAUACAGCUAAAGUAAUAAAAUUUCUCACUAUAACCAUUUUUGCUAUGGGAGAGAAUGUGUCAUGGUAAUCUAGUCCCUCCUGUUGGCUGUAACCCUUGGCGACCAACCUUUCCUUAAACCUUUCUACUUCUCCAUUAGCAUUGUACUUGAUCUUGUAGACCCAUUUUGAUCCAAUUAUAUUCUUGUCCAGAGGAAUAUCAACUACCUCCUAAGUAUGAUUUUCUUCAAGAUCUUUAACCUUCUAUUUCAUAGCUUUAAUCCACCUCUUAUCUCCGCCAGCUUCAUUAUAAGAUUGUGGUUCUACUUUUGUUGAUAGACUGGACAUAAAACUUUGGUAUCUUGAACUAGUAUUAGCAUAAGAUAGAUAGUUUUCCAUAGGAUAUCUGGUUUCUCUUUUUCCCUAGUAAUGCAUAGUCCAACAACCAAACAAGUUGUUUGAUGACUCUAGAUGAUUUUCUUGGAGCAACUUCUGCAGGUGAUAAGGAUGGCUCAUCUUUGCUGGUGAAGUUAUGAGUGUCUUCAUCUUGGAUACUGUUAAGAUUAUGUGGUGAUGUACUUUUCUCUUGUGGAUCAUAUGAUUGAUUAUCAGGAUCUGUGUAAGUAUCUACUUCUAUUACUGCAUUAGUAUGAUAAGAUAAACUCAGCUUAAGGAAAUCAACAGUUGAUUCUGAGCUUGGGUACUCUACAA